AACGUAGGAGACAAACGUUAUCCGGAGUUACUGGGCGUAAAGGGCGUGUAGGUGGUUGUGUAAGUUCGGCGUGAAAUCUCUCGGCUUAACCGGGAGUGGUCGUCGGAUACUGCACGACUAGAGGACGGUAGAGGCGUGUGGAAUUCCGGGUGUAGUGGUGAAAUGCGUAGAGAUCCGGAGGAACACCAGUGGCGAAGGCGGCAUCCUGGACCGGCAUUGACGCUGAGGCGCGAAAGCCAGGGGAGCAAACGGG
rnacentral:rRNA from 1 species